GACGAACGCUGGCGGCGUGCUUAACACAUGCAAGUCGAACGGAAAGGCCCUGCUUGCAGGGUACUCGAGUGGCGAACGGGUGAGUAACACGUGGGUGAUCUGCCCUGCACUUCGGGAUAAGCCUGGGAAACUGGGUCUAAUACCGGAUAGGAGCCAUUUUUAGUGUGAUGGUUGGAAAGUUUUUUCGGUGUAGGAUGAGCUCGCGGCCUAUCAGCUUGUUGGUGGGGUAAUGGCCUACCAAGGCGGCGACGGGUAGCCGGCCUGAGAGGGUGGACGGCCACUUUGGGCCUGGGUUACGCCCCGGCCUCCUCCGGGAGGCAGCGGUGGGGAUUAUUGCCCAAUGGGCGCAACCCUGUGCCAGCGACGCCCCGUGGGGGAUGACGGCCUUCGGUUUUUAACCUCCUUUCGCUAGGAACGAAGCUUUUUUGGCCGUUCCUUAGUAAAGAAGCACCGCUAACCUCCUU
rnacentral:rRNA from 1 species